rnacentral:lncRNA from 10 species
CAGGGUGAUAUGACUGUGUUUGUGCCUGUGUGUGUGUUUAGUGCUUUAGAAGUUCUAUCCGAGAAGGAGACAUUGCAGCAGAGACUUGAAUGGCAAUAGAGAGCAAGCCAGGAGGAAAGAAAAUUCUAGGCAAAAGGAACAACAGGUGCACAGGUCCUGAGGCAGGAAUAUGCUUGGUGUGUUCAGGAAUGUUAGUGUGACAUGGGGUGAGAUAUAGGGAGAGAUAUAUCACCUGAGAUCAGGGAGGGGAGCAGAGACCAAAUCAAUUAGGGUCAGAGUAGUUUGUUUUCUUAAAUGGAGUCAGGGUCUCCCUCUGUCACCCAGGUUGGAGUGCACUGGCACAAUUACGGCUCACUGCAGCCUCGAACUUCCGGGCUCAAGCAAUCCUCUCACCUCAGCUUUCUGAGUAGCUAGGACUAGAAGCGUGGGCCACCACACCCAACUAGGGUCUGAGUUUUAUCCCAAAUGCAAUGGGAUGCCAUUCGAAGCUGUUUAGGUUGGAAGUUUUUUGUUUUGUUUUGUUUUGUUUUGUUUUUGAGAACCGUACCCGGCCUAGGUUGGAAGUAACAUGAUUUAAUACAUGAUUUUUCAAGGAUCCCUCUGGCUACUGUAUUGGGAGUGCCCUGUAGAGGAUGAAAGGGAGAGAAGCAAGGAGAGUAGCUAGGAGACAGGUGCAGUUGCUGAGGUGAAAGGCCAUACACGUGUGAGCAUUUCAUCUCUGGGUUCUCAGCAUCUAACGCAGUGCAGUGGUGCAAGCAUGGCUCACUGCAGCCUUGACCUCCCCUACUCAGGCAAUCCUCCCACCUCAGCCUCCUGAGUACUUGGGAAUACAAGCAGGCGCCACCACACCAAGCUAAUUUUAAAAUUUUUUGUAGAGACUGGGUAUCUGCUUUGUUGCCAAGGCUGGUCUUGAACUCCUGGGCUCAAGCAAUCUCUCGGCCUUCCAAAGUGUUGGGAUUACAGGCCUGAGCCACUGUGCCCUGGUGGAAAUAUAUAUA